rnacentral:rRNA from 1 species
GUGUCAGCAGCCGCGGUAAUACGUAGGGGCCAAGCGUUGUCCGGAUUUAUUGGGCGUAAAGAGCUCGUAGGCGGUUGGGUAAGUCGGGUGUGAAAACUCCAGGCUCAACUUGGAGACGCCACCCGAUACUGCUCUGACUUGAGUUCGGUAGGGGAGUGGGGAAUUCCUGGUGUAGCGGUGAAAUGCGCAGAUAUCAGGAGGAACACCGGUGGCGAAGGCGCCACUCUGGGCCGAAACUGACGCUGAGGAGCGAAAGCGUGGGUAGCAAACAGGAUUAGAUACCCUGGUAGUCCACGCCGUAAACGUUGGGCACUAGGUGUGGGCCCUAACCAACGGGGUCCGUGCCGUAGCUAACGCAUUAAGUGCCCCGCCUGGGGAGUACGGCCGCAAGGUUAAA